GACAGUGUAGCUCAAUGGUAGACUGUGUGUUUGGCAUGCACGAGGUCCUGGGUACAAUUCCCGGUACCGCCA
rnacentral:tRNA from 1 species